AAUGAGGUAAGGAUACCAAGAUAUGUAUCUUAUAGGCAGGGAAUAAAGCCAAAGUCUGUACUCCAUAAGCUGAAAGAAGUUGCCAAGGUCUGCACCUUAUGGGCAAGAAGAAAAUACAGAGUAUGUACUCUAUGGGCUGAAUGCCAAGGUCUGUACCUUAUAGGCAAAGAAUACGAGAUGUCACAGUCUAAAUUAUAUGGGCAUAAUCAAGGGUUCUCAGAGUCGGAACUUAACGUGGCAAG
rnacentral:lncRNA from 1 species